rnacentral:rRNA from 1 species
GUGGGGAAUCUUAGACAAUGGGGGAAACCCUGAUCUAGCCAUGCCGCGUGAGCGAUGAAGGCCUUAGGGUUGUAAAGCUCUUUCAGCUGGGAAGAUAAUGACUGUACCAGCAGAAGAAGCCCCGGCUAACUCCGUGCCAGCAGCCGCGGUAAUACGGAGGGGGCUAGCGUUGUUCGGAAUUACUGGGCGUAAAGCGCACGUAGGCGGACCGGAAAGUCAGAGGUGAAAUCCCAGGGCUCAACCUUGGAACUGCCUUUGAAACUCAUGGUCUUGAGGUCGAGAGGGGUGAGUGGAAUUCCGAGUGUAGAGGUGAAAUUCGUAGAUAUUCGGAGGAACACCAGUGGCGAAGGCGGCUCACUGGCUCGAUACUGACGCUGAGGUGCGAAAGCGUGGGGAGCAAACAGGAUUAGAAACCCCAGUAGUCC